UGACUNGAGUGCAGAAGGGGAGAGUGGAAUUCCAUGUGUAGCGGUGAAAUGCGUAGAUAUAUGGAGGANCACCAGUGGCGAAAGCGGCUCUCUGGUCUGUCACUGACGCUGAGGCUCGAAAGCGUGGGUAGCGAACAGGAUUAGAUACCCUGGUAGUNCACGCCGUAAACGAUGAGUGCUAGGUGUUAGGCCCUUUCCGGGGCUUAGUGCCGGAGCUAACGCAAUAAGCACUCCGCCUGGGGAGUACGACCGCAAGGUUGAAACUCAAAGGAAUUGACGGGGGCCCGCACAAGCGGUGGAGCAUGUGGUUUAAUUCGAAGCAACGCGAAGAACCUUACCAGGUCUUGACAUCCCGAUGCUAUUCUUAGAGAUAGGAAGUUACUUCGGUACAUCGGGGACAGGUGGUGCAUGGUUGUCGUCAGCUCGUGUCGUGAGAUGUUGGGUUAAGUCCCGCAACGAGCGCAACCCUUAUUGUUAGUUGCCAUCAUUAAGUUGGGCACUCUAGCGAGACUGCCGGUAAUAAACCGGAGGAAGGUGGGGAUGACGUCAAAUCAUCAUGCCCCUUAUGACCUGGGCUACACACGUGCUACAAUGGUCGGUACAACGAGUUGCGAGCCGGUGACGGCAAGCUAAUCUCUGAAAGCCGAUCUCAGUUCGGAUUGGAGGCUGCAACUCGCCUCC
rnacentral:rRNA from 1 species